AUUCAGAUGACGAGUCCUAAAUAGGACGAAAUGUGCAUCCUGCCUGGAU
rfam:Trichobilharzia regenti genome assembly, scaffold: TRE_scaffold0016297